AUUCAACUGAUGAGUCCCAAAUAGGACGAAGUGGCGCUCUUCUUGGAU
rfam:Schistosoma rodhaini strain Burundi genome assembly, scaffold: SROB_scaffold0000923